rnacentral:misc_RNA from 1 species
GAUGGCGCCGCCGAACACAGGAUUAGCAGUGGGAUUGAACAAAGGACACAUUGUAACCAAGAAGGAGUUAGCUCCACGCCCUUCUGACAGAAAAGGGAAAACAAGCAAAAGAAUACACUUUGUGAGGAGUCUUAUCAGAGAAGUUGCUGGAUUUGCUCCAUAUGAGAAGAGGAUUACUGAGCUUCUCAAAGUUGGAAAGGACAAGCGUGCCUUGAAGGUAGCCAAGAGGAAGUUGGGUACUCACAAGAGGGCAAAGAGGAAGAGAGAAGAGAUGUCUAGUGUUCUCCGCAAGAUGAGGGCUACUGGAGGUGGUGAAAAGAAGAAGUGAGGCCUGUAUCCAUCACUACUGAUGUUUGAAGGACCCAGUUAGUUAAUUCACCAGCUUUUACGUGUGCAAUGUAUUUUUGUUUUCAAGAAAGAGGACUUGUGAUCGAAAAGUUCCCUGUUUAUGUUCGAUGAAUAUUUUGGAAUUAGUGAUUCUUUAGACAUUUUUGCAAAUUGCGUGCUUUUCUGGUAUUAUUUGUGUUGACUAUCUGCUUGAUCUUUGAAAUGACUUGGGCCAAGAAAUUUGCCCAUGUUGACAGGGAAAA